GGUUUUAUGGUGUAACGGUUAGCACUCCAGACUCUGAUCUGGCGAUCUGGGUUCAA
rnacentral:tRNA from 1 species